CCUACGGGAGGCAGCAGUGAGGAAUAUUGGUCAAUGGACGAGAGUCUGAACCAGCCAAGUAGCGUGAAGGAUGACUGCCCUAUGGGUUGUAAACUUCUUUUAUAUUGGAAUAAAAUGUUCCACGUGUGGGAUUUUGUAUGUACCAUAUGAAUAAGGAUCGGCAAACUCCGUGCCAGCAGCCGCGGUAAUACGGAGGAUCCGAGCGUUAUCCGGAUUUCUUGGGUUUAAAGGGCGCGUAGGUGGAUUGUUAAGUCAGUUGUGAAAGUUUGCGGCUCAACCGUAAAAUUGCAGUUGAAACUGGCAGUCUUGAGUACAGUAGAGGUGGGCGGAAUUCGUGGUGUAGCGGUGAAAUGCUUAGAUAUCACGAAGAACUCCGAUUGCGAAGGCAGCUCACUGGACUGCAACUGACACUGAGGCUCGAAAGUGUGGGUAUCAAACAGGAUUAGAUACCCGAGUAGUC
rnacentral:rRNA from 1 species